GACGAACCGUGCGACCGUUAUUCGGAAUCACUGGGCUUAAAGGGCGCGUAGGCGGGCGGCCAAGUCAGAGGUGAAAGCCCCCAGCUCAACUGGGGAAGUGCCUUUGAUACUGGUCGUCUCGAGGGAGAUAGGGGCGUGCGGAACUUCCGGUGGAGCGGUGAAAUGCGUAGAUAUCGGAAGGAACACCGGUGGCGAAAGCGGCGCGCUGGAGCGCUUCUGACGCUGAGGCGCGAAAGCCAGGGGAGCGAACGGG
rnacentral:rRNA from 1 species